rnacentral:rRNA from 1 species
UACAUGAGUGGCGAGCGUUAUCCGUAAUUAUUGGGCGUAAAGGAUGCGUAGACGGUAAAAGUAGUUGUAAUUUUACUAUAACAGUUGUAUUGGGUCUUUUUACAAAAACCUUUUUUACUAGAGUUUUUUUUAAAGUGCACGGCAUUUGUAAACUAGUGAUAAAAUACUUUGAGUUUACAAUUAUCUUUAAGAGUGAAAACAGUAUACUAUUAAAAACUGACGUUGAGGCAUUAAAGUAUGGUCAUCCAAUAGG